UUUGUGGUGGACCCCCGUCUUGAAACACGGACCAAGGAGUCUAGCAUGUGCGCGAGUCAUUGGGACUCUCUAAACCUAAAGGCGCAAUGAAAGUGAAGGUACGCCCCGAGCGGACCGAGGGAGGAUGGCCGGCGGCUUCUGACGCCGGCCCGCACUCCCGGGGCGUCUCGCACUCAUCGCGAGGCGAGGCGCACCACGAGCGUACACGCUGGGACCCGAAAGAUGGUGAACUAUGCCUGGUCAGGACGAAGUCAGGGGAAACCCUGAUGGAGGUCCGUAGCGAUUCUGACGUGCAAAUCGAUCGUCGGAACUGGGUAUAGGGGCGAAAGACUAAUCGAACCAUCUAGUAGCUGGUUCCCUCCGAAGUUUCCCUCAGGAUAGCUGGCACUCGAACGAACUGUCAAUGCACGAGUCUCAUCCGGUAAAGCGAAUGAUUAGAGGCAUUGGGGUCGAAACGGCCUCAACCUAUUCUCAAACUUUAAAUGGGUGAGAUCUCCGGCUUGCUUGAACCGUGAAGCCGGAGAUCGGAUCAACGUGUGCCAAGUGGGCCACUUUUGGUAAGCAGAACUGGCGCUGUGGGAUGAACCAAACGUCGAGUUAAAGCGCCAAAAUCGACGCUUAUGGGACACCAUGAAAGGCGUUGGUAACUUAAGACAGCAGGACGGUGGCCAUGGAAGUCGGAAUCCGCUAAGGAGUGUGUAAAACAAA
rnacentral:rRNA from 1 species